rnacentral:lncRNA from 1 species
AUGUUUCCUGCCCACCCUCCUGCCAAAUGGACAGCUCUUCACUCCCAGACUGUGUCACGUCUCUCCCCAUUGCUCCCACACAACCUACCUUCUUUCUGUAGUGCAGAUCCUCAAGGGCAAGCUCAAAUCCAAUGCGUACUCCAUGAAAUGUUCCUUGCUCCCAUCCUGAAAAUGCCAUCCCUCUGCCCCUGCAGUGUCGUGCGUGUGUGUUCUUUCUCUUCCCUCUGCCCCUGCAGUGUCGUGCAUGUGUGUUCUUUCUCUUUCCUCUGCCCCUGCAGUGUCGUGCAUCUGUGUUCUUUCUCUUUCCUCUGCCCCUGCAGUGUCGUGCAUGUGUGUUCUUUCUCUUUCCUCUGCCCCUGCAGUGUCGUGCAUGUGUGUUCUUUCUCUUUCCUCUGCCCCUGCAGUGUCGUGCAUGUGUGUUCUUUCUCUUUCCUCUGCCCCUGCAGUGUCGUGCAUGUGUGUUCUUUCUCUUCCCUCUGCCCCUGCAGUGUCGUGCAUGUGUGUUCUUUCUCUUUCCUCUGCCCCUGCAGUGUCGUGCAUCUGUGUUCUUUCUCUUUCCUCUGCCCCUGCAGUGUCGUGCAUGUGUGUUCUUUCUCUUUCAGAUAGUUCACUGUUAGUAUACAAAGCUGCAACUGAUUUUUAUGUGUUUAACAGCUUUUGGUGGGGUCUUUUAGGUUUUCUGUGCAUAAAAUCAUCUUAUCUGCAACAAAGACAGCCUUACUUCCUCCUUUCUGAUUGGAAUGUUUUUAUCUACUUUCUUGCCUAAUUACUCUGAGUAGAACUUCCAGUACAUUUUGAAUGAAAGUCGUGAGAGCAGGCAUCCUUGUGUUGUUUUUGAUCUUAGAGGAAAAGCUUUUAGCUUUUUAACAUUGAGUAUAAUGUUAGCUGUGGGUUUGUCCUAUAUGGCCCAUAUUAAGUUAAGGUGCACUCCUUCUAAACCUAAUUUGUUGAGAAUUGUUAUCAUGGAAGGAUGUUGAAUUUCAUCAAAUGCUUUUUCUGCAUCUAUUGAGAUGAUCAUAUGAUUUUAUCCUUCAUUCUGUUAAUAUGGUAGAUUAUGUUGAUUUGCAUAUGUUAAACCAUGCUUGCAUCACAGAAAUAAAUUUCUUUCUUCAUAUUGUGUGAUCACUUAAUGUUAAUAUGCUGUUCAGUUUAGUUUGCUAAUAUUUUGUUCAAGAAUUUUGCAACAAAGUCCCUCAGAAAUACUGGCCUAGAAUUUUCUUUACUGUGGUGUCCUCAUCUGGCUUUGGUACCAGAGCCAUUCUGUCCUGGUAGAAUAAGCUUAGAAUUGUUUCCUCCUCUUCAAUUUUUUGGAAAAAUUUGAGAAUAAU